rnacentral:rRNA from 1 species
GUCGAGCGGACAGAAGGGAGCUUGCUCCCGGAUGUUAGCGGCGGACGGGUGAGUAACACGUGGGUAACCUGCCUGUAAGACUGGGAUAACUCCGGGAAACCGGAGCUAAUACCGGAUAGUUCCUUGAACCGCAUGGUUCAAGGAUGAAAGACGGUUUCGGCUGUCACUUACAGAUGGACCCGCGGCGCAUUAGCUAGUUGGUGGGGUAAUGGCUCACCAAGGCGACGAUGCGUAGCCGACCUGAGAGGGUGAUCGGCCACACUGGGACUGAGACACGGCCCAGACUCCUACGGGAGGCAGCAGUAGGGAAUCUUCCGCAAUGGACGAAAGUCUGACGGAGCAACGCCGCGUGAGUGAUGAAGGUUUUCGGAUCGUAAAGCUCUGUUGUUAGGGAAGAACAAGUGCGAGAGUAACUGCUCGCACCUUGACGGUACCUAACCAGAAAGCCACGGCUAACUACGUGCCAGCAGCCGCGGUAAUACGUAGGUGGCAAGCGUUGUCCGGAAUUAUUGGGCGUAAAGGGCUCGCAGGCGGUUUCUUAAGUCUGAUGUGAAAGCCCCCGGCUCAACCGGGGAGGGUCAUUGGAAACUGGGAAACUUGAGUGCAGAAGAGGAGAGUGGAAUUCCACGUGUAGCGGUGAAAUGCGUAGAGAUGUGGAGGAACACCAGUGGCGAAGGCGACUCUCUGGUCUGUAACUGACGCUGAGGAGCGAAAGCGUGGGGAGCGAACAGGAUUAGAUACCCUGGUAGUCCACGCCGUAAACGAUGAGUGCUAAGUGUUAGGGGGUUUCCGCCCCUUAGUGCUGCAGCUAACGCAUUAAGCACUCCGCCUGGGGAGUACGGUCGCAAGACUGAAACUCAAAGGAAUUGACGGGGGCCCGCACAAGCGGUGGAGCAUGUGGUUUAAUUCGAAGCAACGCGAAGAACCUUACCAGGUCUUGACAUCCUCUGACAACCCUAGAGAUAGGGCUUUCCCUUCGGGGACAGAGUGACAGGUGGUGCAUGGUUGUCGUCAGCUCGUGUCGUGAGAUGUUGGGUUAAGUCCCGCAACGAGCGCAACCCUUGAUCUUAGUUGCCAGCAUUCAGUUGGGCACUCUAA